rfam:Ciona savignyi cont_66286, whole genome shotgun sequence.
UCCUCGUUAGUAUAGUGGUAAGUAUCCUGGCCUGACAUGCGGGAGACCACGGUUCGAUUCCCCGAUGGGGAG